AGGAUUCAGAAGCUACGGCAGCCAAAAAAAUUAAUUUUAGCGAAAUUGAUUUGGAAAAAGACGAACCCGUUGAAGAAACAGAUAUCACUAUUGUUUCUGAAGUCAUUCAAGCUGAAGAUAAAGAAAAGAACGUUGCAAGUGAAUCAAGUAACACCACUGGAAGUUCAACUUCGGUUUCCCAAAAUAAGAACCUUAGCAAUAUUGAUGGUGUAAAAACAAGCUACCAAAAUGAUUGUCCAUCAACUCCAUGCUCACCAAAUCAAUAUGUGACAGCAGGGCAGUUAAGAGAAGAAAGAACUUGGACAGAAAGGUAGUAAAAUUUUUAUAACUGGAGAGCAAUGGAGUGCUAUUUAAUCCAAAUCCACGUUCACGUCUAUGGGUAUUGCUCUUGUUAUGGCUACAUUUGAUAUGACAACGCUGUUGCGUAGUAAUUACAAAGGUGGUAAGUCAAAAAUAAAAAAACCUGAUGAUGACAAUGUCGUGUACAGUGCACUGGAUCAAAAUAUAAUUGCUGCGAUUAAAGACACUGUUAAAAGCCGUUUCAAGAGUACAUUUAACGAUUCUAAAUUUGGUUCUGCAAUAAAUAACAAAUUAACUGCAUUGAGGAGAGACCAUAAGCUGAAAAACGCAAAAGCAGCAGACGCAAAUCAGAAAGAGAGAGAGGAAAAAUAAGUCGAAGAACAAGAUGAAAUUUGAAAUGCUUUUGAGUUUUUUAUUUUACACUUGCUUGUUAAACUUUUACUUAAUACUAAUUAAUACUUACAUACUUUUUUAUAAUCACCAAUAUAACCG
rnacentral:lncRNA from 1 species